rnacentral:rRNA from 1 species
UACGGGGGGGGCAAGCGUUGUUCGGAAUUACUGGGCGUAAAGGGCUCGUAGGCGGCCAACUAAGUCAGACGUGAAAUCCCUCGGCUUAACCGGGGAACUGCGUCUGAUACUGGAUGGCUAGAGUGUGGGAGAGGGAUGCGGAAUUCCAGGUGUAGCGGUGAAAUGCGUAGAUAUGUGGAGGAACACCAGUGGCGAAGGCGACUUUUUGGCCUGUAACUGACGCUGAGGCGCGAAAGCGUGGGGAGCAAACAGG